rnacentral:rRNA from 1 species
UACGUAGGGUGCAAGCGUUAAUCGGAAUUACUGGGCGUAAAGCGAGUGUAGGCGGUUUGGUAAGUCGGAUGUGAAAGCCCUGGGCUCAACCCAGGAAGUGCAUUCGAUACUGUCAAGCUAGAGUAUCGGAGAGGUUGGUGGAAUUCUCGGUGUAGAGGUGAAAUUCGUAGAUAUCGAGAGGAACACCGGUGGCGAAGGCGACUUCCUGGCCUGUUCUUGACGCUGAGGCGCGAAAGCUAGGGUAGCAAACGGG